rnacentral:rRNA from 1 species
GACGAACGCUGGCGGCGUGCUUAACACAUGCACGUCGAACGGAAAGGCCCUGCUUUUGUGGGGUGCUCGAGUGGCGAACGGGUGAGUAACACGUGAGUAACCUGCCCUUGACUUUGGGAUAACUUCAGGAAACUGGGGCUAAUACCGGAUAGGAGCUCCUGCUGCAUGGUGGGGGUUGGAAAGUUUCGGCGGUUGGGGAUGGACUCGCGGCUUAUCAGCUUGUUGGUGGGGUAGUGGCUUACCAAGGCUUUGACGGGUAGCCGGCCUGAGAGGGUGACCGGCCACAUUGGGACUGAGAUACGGCCCAGACUCCUACGGGAGGCAGCAGUGGGGAAUAUUGCACAAUGGGCGGAAGCCGGAUGCAGCAACGCCGCGUGCGGGAUGACGGCCUUCGGGUUGUAAACCGCUUUCGCCUGUGACGAAGCGUGAGUGACGGUAAUGGGUAAAGAAGCACCGGCUAACUACGUG